rnacentral:lncRNA from 1 species
CUGGACACAGUGUGGUUUCUGGGUCGGUUUUCACAUCAGCUGAUGCUCCAGGUGACGUUUUAGGUUAUUGGGUCGCAGAUUGCUGGCACACUCAUCCUUGUUCUCAAACAUCUUUUAAACUUGUGUGAAGUGACAAGUAGGGGAAGAAGAUGAUUUACUGAAAGAGAAAGAAAAAGAAGUUUCCACUCAACAAGGUGCCAAAGAGGACAUUUAACUCCAAGCUCCACAAUCUGGCAUUGGUCCAUGCAGCUCCAUCUGUCCCUAAAACUGGAAGCCACAGUCAGUUUCUCUUCUCUUCAUCCACGUGUUUACUGAGAUGAGUAGUUUCUCUACAGACAAGCAGAAAACGCACUCCUCUCUGUUUAGGCUGAAUCCCAUCACUCCACUGAGAGAAAACCUCUGAGGG